GUUCGUUUCAGCAGCACACGUGCCAGAAUCAGAAAGAUACAGAGAAGACUAGCAUGGCCCCUGAGCAAGGAUGACACCCACACUGGUGAAGCAUUCCAUAUUUUU
rnacentral:snRNA from 1 species